rnacentral:rRNA from 1 species
AUACGGAGGGUGUAAGCGUUACUCGGAAUCACUGGGCGUAAAGCGCGCGCAGGCGGCUUGAUAAGUUGGAUGUGAAAGCCUACGGCUCAACCGUAGAACUGCAUCCAAAACUGUCAGGCUAGAGUGUGGGAGAGGAAGAUGGAAUUAGUUGUGUAGGGGUAAAAUCCGUAGAGAUAACUAGGAAUACCAAAAGCGAAGGCAAUCUUCUGGAACACUACUGACGCUGAGGCGCGAAGGCGUGGGGAGCAAACAGGAUUAGAAACCCCAGUAGUCC